GGUCGUUUGAAGUCUUGAUGUCAUAAAUUUCAUAUUUCCCAGGCUUGCAACAGAUCCCAAUUUGAAGAUGCUCUUGCGUCAAUCUAUUAGAGCGCCCCAUGAUCUCACCUGCUGGCACCGCAGCGUUGACACUGGGACGUGAAAUUUAGUUCACAGCCGGCCGUCGACCCGAGUGACCCGACUUGAAAGACCCGACCGUCUUUUUAAUCACACGUUUCACACUAGUCUGACGCAUCGCUUUUUCAAGGGAAACGCAUCCGCCGUUGUCUAUACGUGGGACCACAUUUGCGUAAACGUGGCGGAUCAAAGUCGUUUUUCUUUUCUAGAUUGCGUCGUAAUUUGCGAUGGGAUGUGAAACGAUUAAACGAAGACAUUGUCCGCAACAACUCUCACUUUCAAAAAAAGGAAAUGAUUCAUUGCGAUUGUCUAAAUUGCCUGAUUGUUGGCCUGAUAAAAGAAACGCGACGACCGGUGAGCCAAGAGUUUACUCAAACGACAAAAGGUAUAAAUGGCUGACGGAUGUUGCUCUAUUCUGCACGAGUGUUCGGUGUAUUCCGCGCUAGCCAAAUUCAUGGUAUCAUCCAGGUGACUGACGUAGCUCUUUGUUGUACCUCAGUCGUCAUCCGAGAUGCUGGUAUGAAACGGUAAAGUUUUGAGCACGCCCUUGUGGAUAUCAACCAGCAAAGGAGAACUCGGGCGACAAGACGAGUUUGGUCGUGGUGUUAUGGACCGACUCGUCAAAGACAUUGCCACGCCCAGUACCGCUAAAGUACGACGGUGAGCAAUCCUUGCCUCAACAGCCCUUGCACUCCCACGUGUGUCCAUAUUCCGGGCGGAUAUCCUUUCACCUGCCUCGACAGCACGAUCCUGGUUCAAUCUGGCGGAGAAAUGUCGUGGGACGCGACUGAGGAACGAACUCGACCGUCUCCUUUUGCGCUGCCCUUGCCAGAAUCUUGGGGUCUGCACCGGCGACGGCCAAGUCCAUUGCCAGUGCCCCAACGAUUAUUACGAAUUGCGAGACCCACUUGUUGCGCCGUAGUUAACAAUAAUCACGAGUUGUACCAGUCGAUUAUGAAAUCGCUUGGUACAACCAGGGUACAACAGCAAACUAUUGAGGGUUUAACUUUGGUCUUUUUCAUCAAAUGUUUUGCAACUGAUUUAUUUUCUUACGUGUUUUUAAAUUUUGUUUUUUCUAAAUAAACGAGUAUAAUCCUUUUAUAUUUUUGAUUUGAUUUGAUUUUUUUAUUUUCGAUUUUUUAAAAUUGUUUCAACUAUAUCGAUAUCUUAACCAUAGCUGAUUGCCAAAUGGCGUCGUCUGCUCAGUUUUCCAAAGUGGCUGGCGAUAGCUGCACGAAAAAUGUGUCUCAUUAUAGAUUCUCUUAAAAUAGUUAUUAUUUGAUACGUGCUCCAUGUUGUUUACAGCAGUCAAAUAAAAUCAAGAAUGCAUAUAGAAUGAUUGUGGAAUCUUUGAAACCCUUUUCUAAAUUCUGAGAAAUCAAAAUGCUAGUUCCCGACUGAAAUAGGCCUAGCAUUAAUCACGCCAGAGCCAGCCAUCACAACAAUGAGAUGCAAGAAUUUGUUGUGCUGGCGGCAGGAAUCUCAGUAUGUCAUUGUUCGGGUUAACAGCAUCCUCUUGUAUUGGAGAAACUACCAAUGUUGCUUGAGUUGCUGAUAUCUUCUCCCAGUUUCAUAAAAUGUUCUCGUGUGCCCCUGUAGUGGGUGCACACAACAUAUGAGGACCCCCUUUUUCCUCUAUCCCGCCUGGUGUCUGGUCAAUUUUUCAGCAGAUGGAUGCCUGGCUGUAUAUCCCAAGUCUAAAGGGGAGAGUGGGUGAAUUGGAUAAGGUGUCGAUUAGGAAGAGGAGGAAGAGAGGUGCACCUAGAGACCAGGGGUUCAAACCCCCUGGAGAGCAUUGUUGGUUGCUCGUACACCCGCUCUGGCGCCACUGUGGCGUCACAUGCAGGAUUAUCUAACCCCGUGCUGGAGAGGGAACUCUGGUGUGUAGCUGAGGGACCGUCGGUCGAUAUUGGGCUCGGUCCAAUAUUCCUCAGCGCAGAGGACGAUGGAAAUGUAGAAUGAGAGGUGAAUUAGAGGCUAUUGGUGAUGCGGUCUGAUCUGAGCCAAGGGCCUUUACUUACCAGCAUUUCCUUCAUUAGUUCCGCUUGAUUGGGUAGUUGAGUGUCGUGUUGAAUGGGUGUCGUUAUGAGGCCACCCAUCGCAUCUAGUUUAAAUGGAUAGACGAUGACCAUUUUCACAUCGGGGAACGGGGUCGGUCGGGCUCGUCGGUCUUUACCCAAAUGUUGUCUUUGUGCACGAAGAUAACCUCUUGAAUUACAUGUGCUUAUGGGAGAAUAUUCAUACUAGAUUCAGAUCCGCGAGAUAGCCGGUAGUCAUGCAUCGGGGGGUGCAUGGUGAAUCCUGGGGCUUCGAUAUUCGAUAUUCGGUAACAACACUCACAGCGAUGCUCAACUAUUGUGCUAGUCAAGUUACCACUAGAUCGUUUCUCUCCUUGCUAUUUAUGUUAAAAAUUUUCUUUUUCUUACUAAUUGGUUUUUCUCGG